UUUAAUACCCUAAUAAUAACACCCCCAAUCGUGUUUCAGAUUGCACAUUCUUUAGCCACUGAUGAAGAACGACGAUUAGAAUUUCCAAUGAGGAAUUCUUUGAGCUUCUGUUGUUUGCAGUGAAGGAUCUGAGAGAUUCGUUAAAGGAUUUGGGAUCUAAUCUGAUGAUCAGGUUUGGGAGGACGGAAUCUGUUAUUCAAGAUCUUGUAAAAGAGGUUAGGCCUGCCAAUCUUUACACACAAGAAGAAGUGGAAUACGACUCGCAGUUGCUGAUUGAUAAAGUUUGAGAAAAUUUAAGAGAUGUGUUUUUUGAAAAAGAUUCUGUUAAAGUAUCGCUAUAGAGUACUCCUUUUUUAUGAUAUGAAGGUAUAUGUGUUUGGUUACAGUAAUGCUAGUUUGCGUUUUGGUUAGAUUAUGCUGAUGAACUCUUAUUUUUCUAGAAUAUGAUGGACCUUUAUAACAAAAAAAGGUUAGAAUAUGAUGGACCUUCCAUUGUCAUAUGACUAAUUUCAACGAUUAAAGCUAACUGUGCUUUUGCCCCUUUCAGCCCCAAAAGGCCCAAAUUUACCCGGUGUGGUGCCAGAUUUGGAAUGGGGUCCUCUACCGACACUUAAUGAUUUGAAGGAGUUUAUGGAUGAAAGUCCAUACAAGCUAAAAGGUAGCUGGAGUUUGAUCAAGAACACUUCUACUGAAUAUGUAUUGUAGAAUGACAGAAUUCUUAUGUCAGGUGGUGUGACUAACAGUCAGGGCAGUUUGAAUUCCCUUGCUUCUCAAAUCAAGAAAAA